rnacentral:tRNA from 1 species
GGGCGGAUGGCACAGUGGUAGCGCGCUUGCUUCGCACAUCUGAUGUAAGUUGCAUGAGGUCGUGGGUUCAAUCCCCACUUCGUCCA